GACGAACGCUGGCGGCGUGCUUAACACAUGCAAGUCGAACGGAAAGGCCCUUCGGGGUACUCGAGUGGCGAACGGGUGAGUAACACGUGGGUGAUCUGCCCUGCACUUUGGGAUAAGCCUGGGAAACUGGGUCUAAUACCGGAUAGGACCACGGCAUUCAUGUGCUGUGGUGGAAAGCUUUUGCGGUGUGGGAUGGGCCCGCGGCCUAUCAGCUUGUUGGUGGGGUAAUGGCCUACCAAGGCGACGACGGGUAGCCGGCCUGAGAGGGUGACCGGCCACACUGGGACUGAGAUACGGCCCAGACUCCUACGGGGGGCAGCAGUGGGGAAUAUUGCACAAUGGGCGCAAGCCUGAUGCAGCGACGCCGCGUGAGGGAUGACGGCCUUCGGGUUGUAAACCUCUUUCGCCAGGGACGAAGCGCAAGUGACGGUACCUGGAGAAGAAGGACCGGCCAACUACGUG
rnacentral:rRNA from 1 species